AGUUAUAACAGUUAAGCAGAAUGGGAAAAUGGCAUACGAUCUAAUUUACCUUUCCAGCUCUUGGCACAUGGGAAAGGUAAAAACACCCCUGUGACAUCAUUCUCCUCCCAACUGAUGAGGAGCUGGAGAUGGCCCCAGUGGAGUUCUGGUGAUCACCUCCACAUCUCCAAAUAAUGUGCUUCUACCACCACUUCUUGCUUUACCAACUAUGCACUUUAUCUACUGACCUUCUACCGGGAUAAAUGAAGACUCAGCUCACUCAAAAACUCACCCGCCUCUCCUCCAUCCUUCUUCCCAAGACAGCUAAAUCAGUUCUUAAUUCUUCUA